rnacentral:rRNA from 1 species
ACUCCUACGGGAGGCAGCAGUGGGGAAUAUUGCACAAUGGGGGAAACCCUGAUGCAGCCAUGCCGCGUGUGUGAAGAAGGCCUUCGGGUUGUAAAGCACUUUCAGUAGGGAGGAAGGUAGUGUAGUUAACACCUGCACUAUUUGACGUUACCUACAGAAGAAGCACCGGCUAACUCCGUGCCAGCAGCCGCGGUAAUACGGAGGGUGCGAGCGUUAAUCGGAAUUACUGGGCGUAAAGCGCAUGCAGGCGGCCUGUUAAGUCAGAUGUGAAAGCCCGGGGCUUAACCUCGGAAUUGCAUUUGAAACUGGCAGGCUAGAGUCUUGUAGAGGGGGGUAGAAUUUCAGGUGUAGCGGUGAAAUGCGUAGAGAUCUGAAGGAAUACCAGUGGCGAAGGCGGCCCCCUGGACAAAGACUGACGCUCAGAUGCGAAAGCGUGGGGAGCAAACAGGAUUAGAUACCCUGGU